rnacentral:rRNA from 1 species
AUUGAACGCUGGCGGCAGGCCUAACACAUGCAAGUCGAACGAGUGGCGGACGGGUGAGUAAUGUCUGGGAAACUGCCUGAUGGAGGGGGAUAACUACUGGAAACGGUAGCUAAUACCGCAUACCAUCGGAUGUGCCCAGAGGGGCUUAGCUAGUAGGUGGGGUAACGGCUCACCUAGGCGACGAUCCCUAGCUGGUCUGAGAGGAUGACCAGGCACACUGGAACUGAGACAAGGUCCAGACUCCUACGGGAGGCAGGAGUGGGGAAUAUUGCACAAGGGGGGCAAGCCUGAUGCAGCCAGGCCGCGUGUAUGAAGAAGGCCUUCGGGUUGUAAAGUAAUUUCAGCGGGGAGGCGGUACCCGCAGAAGAAGCAACGGCUAACUCCGGUGCAGCAGCCGCGGUAAUAC